AUUGAACGCUGGCGGCAUGCCUUACACAUGCAAGUCGAACGGCAGCACGGGAGCUUGCUCCUGGUGGCGAGUGGCGAACGGGUGAGUAAUACAUCGGAACGUGCCCAGUUGUGGGGGAUAACUGCUCGAAAGAGCAGCUAAUACCGCAUACGACCUGAGGGUGAAGGCGGGGGAUCGCAAGACCUCGCGCAAUUGGAGCGGCCGAUAUCAGAUUAGGUAGUUGGUGGGGUAAAGGCCCACCAAGCCAACGAUCUGUAGCUGGUCUGAGAGGACGAACAGCCACACUGGGACUGAGACACGGCCAAGACUCCUACGGGAGGCAGCAGGGGGGAAUUUUGAACAAUGGACGCAAGUCUGAUCCAGCCAUGCGGCGUGCGGGAAGAAGGCCUUCGGGUUGUAAACCGCUUUUGUCAGGGAAGAAACGGUCUGGGUUAAUACCUCGGGCUAAUGACGGUACCUGAAGAAUAAGCACCGGCUAACUACGUGCCAGCCGCCGCAGUAA
rnacentral:rRNA from 1 species